GACGAACGCUGGCGGCGUGCCUAAUACAUGCAAGUCGAACGCUUCUUUCCUCCCGAGUGCUUGCACUCAAUUGGAAAGAGGAGUGGCGGACGGGUGAGUAACACGUGGGUAACCUACCCAUCAGAGGGGGAUAACACUUGGAAACAGGUGCUAAUACCGCAUAACAGUUUAUGCCGCAUGGCAUAAGAGUGAAAGGCGCUUUCGGGUGUCGCUGAUGGAUGGACCCGCGGUGCAUUAGCUAGUUGGUGAGGUAACGGCUCACCAAGGCCACGAUGCAUAGCCGACCUGAGAGGGUGAUCGGCCACACUGGGACUGAGACGCGGCCCAGACUCCUACGGGAGGCAGCAGUAGGGAAUCUUCGGCAAUGGACGAAAGUCUGACCGAGCAACGCCGCGUGAGUGAAGAAGGUUUUCGGAUCGUAAAACUCUGUUGUUAGAGAAGAACAAGGACGUUAGU
rnacentral:rRNA from 1 species